rnacentral:rRNA from 1 species
UACGUAGGGGGGCAAGCGUUGUCCGGAUUUAUUGGGCGUAAAGAGCGUGUAGGCGGCCUGACAGGUCUGCUGUGAAAACUCGAGGCUCAACCUCGAGAUGUCGGCGGAAACCGUCUGGCUAGAGUCCGGAAGAGGAGAGUGGAAUUCCUGGUGUAGCGGUGAAAUGCGCAGAUAUCAGGAGGAACACCGGUGGCGAAGGCGGUUCUCUGGGCAUGUCCUGACGCUGAGGAGCGAAAGUGUGGGGAGCGAACAGG